CUCAUCAGGACUUCUUUGUGUCUGCUUGCUUUUGUUCACAGCUCUGACCACUUCUACACCUUCAUCAUCCGUCCCAUCAGCAUCCUCCACAACAACAAACCAAAGUGAAAGUUCCACAACUUCACUAGCCUCGCCUAAAACCACCAAGCACCCUGAAGAAACUAAAGGUGUGAUCCUGUAUGUGCGUCUGACUCUGGUCGUCGUGGUCAUCGUGUCAUCACUGUCUGUGCUGGUAUUCUGCAGGAAGAGGAUUUGUAAAGACAAAAGUGAGGAACCAGAACCUCAUGUGGAAACACAAUGUGCUUCUGCACCGGAGGAGAAAGACGACCUGAGUCAACACGCGUACCUGAGAUCAAUUUGUCAGCGUCGACUCGUCCACAGCGGGUUUCCAUGGUGACGCUGGUGUGUUUUUGUCAUCUGUUCCUCGGGUGAAGCUAGCUCUGAUGGAGCCCCCUCUGUACUCUACUGUUAACAACCCCCAAUACUCUCACAGUCUGGCAGAAGAAAGCUGGUGUGAAUAGCAGCCGUGUAAAUAAUCUGAACAGGAGAUGUUUGGGGAAUAUGUACGAUAUUGAACCAU